rnacentral:rRNA from 1 species
CCUACGGGUGGCUGCAGUGAGGAAUAUUGGUCAAUGGGCGCGAGCCUGAACCAGCCAAGUCGCGUGAGGGAAGACGGUCCUAUGGAUUGUAAACCUCUUUUGUCGGGGAGCAAAAGACCCCACGCGUGGCGUUCCGAGAGUACCCGAAGAAAAAGCAUCGGCUAACUCCGUUCCAGCGGCCGCGGUAAUACGGAGGAUGCGAGCUUGAUCCGGAUUUAUUGGGUUUAGAGGGUGCGCAGGCGGAAGAUCAAGUCAGCGGUAAAAUUGAGGGGCUCAACCUCUUCGAGCCGUUGAAACUGGGUGUCUUGAGUGAGCGAGAAGUAUGUGGAAUGCGUGGUGUAGCGGUGAAAUGCAUAGAUAUCACGCAGAACUCCGAUUGCGAAGGCAGCAUACCGGCGCUCAACUGACGCUCAUGCACGAAAGUGUGGGUAGCGAACAGGAUUAGAUACCCCAGUAGUC